rnacentral:rRNA from 1 species
GACGAACGCUGGCGGCGCGCCUAACACAUGCAAGUCGAACGGUGACGAGAGCUUCGGCUCUCUGAUCAGUGGCGGACGGGUGAGUAACACGUGAGCAACCUGCCUAUCAGAGGGGGACAACAGUUGGAAACGACUGCUAAUACCGCAUAACGUGCCCGGGAGGCAUCUCCUGGGUACCAAAGAUUUAUCGCUGAUAGAUGGGCUCGCGUCUGAUUAGAUAGUUGGCGGGGUAACGGCCCACCAAGUCGACGAUCAGUAGCCGGACUGAGAGGUUGAACGGCCACAUUGGGACUGAGACACGGCCCAG